CCGUUGUCCCGCGUCGACGGGCCAGGCACUGCACGCGUGUCCCUGGGCUAGGAAAAGGGUCUAGUACCUAUAGAACGCACCCGAGUAGCGCCAAAAUUAAGUCAAAAUCAGUGGUGGACCGAACGACCAGGUACGUGCCUUCGACAACCUAGCAACUUGGAAGAAGAAGAAGAAGAAGAAGAAGAAGAAGGAAACCCAACACCGUCCCCUAUCCUCUUCUCUCUCUCUCUGUGUCUCUCCGUCCGCGCGGUACAGUUACGGCACCCGCUACUGGCACAGGCAGAACCUGUACCACACCCUCCAGGACCGCCACACCCACAGCAGGACGGAGCGGCCGCGGUGGCGGCAGCGCGCGCGGAAGGCCUGUCCCCUGGAGCAGCCUAGGAAGGCCGGGCCGUAGACUGCGAGGAGCGACAGAGGGAAGGACGUCUAGCUAGCUAGGGCAGCGACGCCGCGACGAAGGUAGCAGCUAGUUCGCGCCUCGAGAACUAGGUAGUUCAGCGACGUUGUCGUAGUAACAAAAACAAAUCAUAUCAAAACACACACAGAUAAUAGUGCGCCACCGUCACAUUGUAACCUGCUGUAAUAAGAAGAAGAUAAAGAUAAGAAAGUAACUACAUGUAUUGUUAAUUAUUAUGACCACCACUAGAACUUUUACUCACCUUACCAA
rnacentral:rRNA from 1 species